UACGUAGGGGGCAAGCGUUGUCCGGAAUCAUUGGGCGUAAAGCGCGUGUAGGCGGACCGGUAGGUCUGGUGUGAAAGCCCGGGGCUCAACCCCGGAGGGUCACUGGAAACCAUCGGUCUUGAAUCUGGAAGAGGAAAGUGGAAUUCCUGGUGUAGCGGUGAAAUGCGCAGAUAUCAGGAGGAACAUCAAUGGCGAAGGCAGCUUUCUGGUACAUGAUUGACGCUGAGACGCGAAAGCGUGGGGAGCAAACAGG
rnacentral:rRNA from 1 species